UACAGAGGGUGCAAGCGUUAAUCGGAAUUACUGGGCGUAAAGGGCGCGUAGGCGGUUAUAUAAGUUGUGUGUGAAAGCUCUGGGCUUAACCUGGGAACUGCACAUAAUACUGUAUGGCUAGAGUAGAGUAGAGGAAAGUGGAAUUUCCGGUGUAGCGGUGAAAUGCGUAGAUAUCGGAAGGAACACCAGUGGCGAAGGCGGCUUUCUGGACUCAUACUGACGCUGAGGCGCGAAAGCGUGGGGAG
rnacentral:rRNA from 1 species